UACGGGGGGGGCAAGCGUUGUUCGGAAUUACUGGGCGUAAAGGGUUUGUAGGUGGCUCGCUAAGUCACACGUGAAAUCCCUCAGCUUAACCGGGGAACUGCGUCUGAUACUGGAUGGUUUGAGUUUGGGAGAGGGACGCGGAAUUCCAGGUGUAGCGGUGAAAUGCGUAGAUAUCUGGAGGAACACCGGUGGCGAAGGCGGCGUCCUGGACCAACACUGACACUGAUGAGCGAAAGCCAGGGGAGCAAACGGG
rnacentral:rRNA from 1 species